rnacentral:rRNA from 1 species
UACGUAGGGUGCAAGCGUUGUCCGGAAUUAUUGGGCGUAAAGAGCUCGUAGGCGGUCUGUCGCGUCGGCUGUGAAAACUCGGGGCUCAACCCCGAGCCUGCAGUCGAUACGGGCAGACUAGAGUGCUGUAGGGGAGACUGGAAUUCCUGGUGUAGCGGUGAGAUGCGCAGAUAUCAGGAGGAACACCAAUGGCGAAGGCAGAUCUCUGGGCCGUAACUGACGCUGAGGAGCGAAAGCAUGGGGAGCGAACAGG